GACGAACGCUGGCGGCGUGCUUAACACAUGCAAGUCGAACGGAAAGGCCCUGCUUGCAGGGUGCUCGAGUGGCGAACGGGUGAGUAACACGUGGGUGAUCUGCCCCUUACUUUGGGAUAAGCCUGGGAAACUGGGUCUAAUACUGGAUAGGACCAUGCUGUAGGUGGUGUGGUGGAAAGAUUAGUUUCGGUAAGGAAUGAGCUCGCGGCCUAUCAGCUUGUUGGUGGGGUAAUGGCCUACCAAGGCGUCGACGGGUAGCCGGCCUGAGAGGGUGGACGGCCACAUUGGGACUGAGAUACGGCCCAGACUCCUACGGGAGGCAGCAGAGGGGAAUAUUGCACAAUGGGCGCAAGCCUGAUGCAGCGACGCCGCGUGGGGGAUGACGGCCUUCGGGUUGUAAACUCCUUUCAGCCAUGACGAAGCCCUUGUGGUGACGGUAGUGGUAGAAGAAGCACCGGCUAACUACGUG
rnacentral:rRNA from 1 species